rnacentral:lncRNA from 1 species
AGAACUGUAUGGAUUGCCAGAAAUCCUCCAGGAUUUGCCUUUGUGGAAUUUGAAGACCCUAGAGAUGCAGAGGAUGCAGUUCGAGGAUUGGAUGGGAAAGUGAUUUGUGGUUCUCGAGUGAGGGUUGAAUUAUCAACAGGCAUGCCUCGGAGAUCUCGGUUUGAUAGGCCACCUGCCCGUCGUCCCUUUGAUCCUAAUGAUAGAUGCUAUGAGUGUGGUGAAAAGGGACAUUAUGCUUAUGACUGUCAUCGCUAUAGCCGACGAAGAAGAAGCAGGUCACGAUCUAGAUCACAUUCCCGAUCCAGGGGAAGGCGAUACUCUCGCUCACGUAGUAGGAGCCGCGGUAGGAGGUGAGAAAUUUGUAAAAUUCAAAAUUUAACAGGAGGAAAAAAUACGACAAGAUGGGCUUAAGAACUGCUUCUAAUUUUUAGGUCAAGAUCAGCAUCUCCUCGACGAUCAAGGUCCGUGUCUCUUCGUAGAUCAAGAUCAGCUUCACUCAGAAGAUCUAGGUCUGGUUCUAUAAUAGGAUCGAGGUAUUUCCAAUCCCGCUCAAGGUCGAGAUCAAGAUCCAGGUCUAUUUCACGACCAAGAAGCAGCCGAUCAAAAUCCAGAUCUCCAUCUCCUAAAAGAAG